rnacentral:tRNA from 1 species
GGUCCAGAAGUGUUUCACGUCGGAUUGCAACUCCGAAAGAGGGGGUGCGUUCCCCCUGGACUU